rnacentral:rRNA from 1 species
UACGUAGGGUGCAAGCGUUAAUCGGAAUUACUGGGCGUAAAGCGUGCGCAGGCGGUUAUGUAAGACAGUUGUGAAAUCCCCGGGCUCAACCGUGGGAACUGCAUUCUGUGACUGCAUAGCUAGAGUACGGGUAGAGGGGGGAUGGAAUUCCGCGUGUAGCAGUGAAAUGCGUAGAUAUGCGGAGGAACACCGAUGGCGAAGGCAAUCCCCUGGACCUGUACUGACGCUCAUGCACGAAAGCGUGGGGAGCAAACAGG